CCAAACUUGGUCAUUUAGAGGAAGUAAAAGUCGUAACAAGGUUUCCGUAGGUGAACCUGCGGAAGGAUCAUUACCAAAUGUCCGGCCAUCCGUGGUCAGGCGAGACCACGUCCCUUCGGGGACUGAUCUCUACACCCUUUGUGAAAAACCCAAGUUGCUUCGGCGGCUCGCCCCGAACCUUAACCGGACCGGGGCGGUCAGCCUGCCGACAGCCCUCAUGGAAACCCUUUACAAGUUAGCUUUUAUCAAUGUCUGACCAAAAUGUCGAAUGACUAUAAAACUUUCAACAACGGAUCUCUUGGUUCCCGCAUCGAUGAAGAACGCAGC
rnacentral:misc_RNA from 1 species